UUAUUGGUAUUGCUUAAGGAUGGGCCUGCGUUCCAUUAGCUAGUUGGUAAGGUAACGGCUUACCAAGGCGACGAUGGAUAGCUGGUUUGAGAGAGUGAUCAGCCACACUGGGACUGAGAUACGGCCCAGACUCCUACGGGAGGCAGCAGUGAGGAAUAUUGCGCAAUGGGCGAAAGCCUGACGCAGCAACGCCGCGUGGGGGAUGAAGCUUUAUGGAGUGUAAACCCCUGUAAGUAGGGACGAAAGUUACCUAUUCGAAUAGGAUGGGUAUCUGACGGUACCUACAGAGUAAGCUCCGGCUAACUCCGUGCCAGCAGCCGCGGUAAUACGGGGGGAGCAAGCGUUGUCCGGAAUUACUGGGCGUAAAGGGCGUGUAGGCGGUAUUGUAAGUCAGAUGUAAAAGGCUACGGCUUAACCGUAGAUUGUCAUUUGAAACUGCAGUACUUGAGUGCGAGAGAGGGUAGUGGAAUUCCCAGUGUAGCGGUGAAAUGCGUAGAUAUUGGGAAGAACACCAGUAGCGAAGGCGGCUACCUGGCUCGUAACUGACGCUAAUGCGCGAAAGCGUGGGGAGCGAACAGGAUUAGAUACCCUGGUAGUCCACGCUGUAAACGAUGAACACUAGGUGUUGGUCCCGACGUGUCGGGAUCGGUGCCGCAGCAAACGCAUUAAGUGUUCCGCCUGGGGAGUACGAUCGCAAGGUUGAAACUCAAAGGAAUUGACGGGGGCCCGCACAAGCGGUGGAGCAUGUGGUUUAAUUCGAUCAACGCGAAGAACCUUACCGGGGUUUGACAUCAUAGUGAAGUAUGCAGAGAUGUAUGCGCCUUUCGGGGCGCUAUGACAGGUGCUGCAUGGCUGUCGUCAGCUCGUGUCGUGAGAUGUUGGGUUAAGUCCCACAACGAGCGCAACCCUUGCCCCUAGUUGCCAGCAAGUAAUGUUGGGGACUCUAGGGGGACAGUCGGCGAUAAGCCGGAGGAAGGUGGGGAUGACGUCAAGUCCUCAUGGCCCUUACAUCCCGGGCUACACACGUGCUACAAUGGCCGGUACAACGGGUUGCGAUACUGUGAAGUGGAGCCAAUCCCUAAAAACCGGUCUCAGUUCGGAUUGCAGUCUGCAACUCGACUGCAUGAAGUCGGAAUCGCUAGUAAUCGCGGAUCAGCUCGCCGCGGUGAAUACGUUCCCGGGCCUUGUACACACCGCCCGUCACGCCAUGGAAGUCGGUAGUACCCGAAGCCGGUGUCCUAAUCCCUC
rnacentral:rRNA from 1 species